rnacentral:rRNA from 1 species
GACGAACGCUUGCGACGUGCCUAAGAAAUGCAAGUCGAGCGAGGCAGCAAUGCCUAGCGGCGAACGGUCGCGUAACACGUAAGCAACCUGCCCCAAAGACCGGGACAACGUUCCGAAAGGAGCGCUAAUACCGGAUGUGCCCGCCGGGUGACAUCGCCUGGUGAGUAAAUCGAGCAAUCGGCUUUGGGGAGGGGCUUGCGGCCUAUCAGCUAGAUGGUGGGGUAACGGCCUACCAUGGCGACGACGGGUAGCUGGUCUGAGAGGAUGGUCAGCCGGAUUGGGACUGAGAUAC